GGGACAUAAGUCCUUACCAAACCGUUGCAAACUCCGAAUACCCUGAAGUUCAAUCGCGGGAGACACACGGUGGGAGCUAAAUUUCAUCGUGAAGAGGGAAACAACCCAGACCGCCAGCUAAGGCCCCAAAUUCCUAGUUAAGUGGGAAACGAGGUGGGAAGGCAUAGACAGCUAGGAGGUUGGCUUAGAAGCAGCCAUCCUUUAAAGAAAGCGUAAUAGCUCAC
rnacentral:rRNA from 1 species